UACGGAGGGAGCUAGCGUUGUUCGGAAUUACUGGGCGUAAAGCGCACGUAGGCGGCUUUGUAAGUCAGAGGUGAAAGCCCGGGGCUCAACCCCGGAUGUGCCUUUGAGACUGCAGGGCUUGAACGUCGGAGAGGUGAGUGGAAUUCCGAGUGUAGAGGUGAAAUUCGUAGAUAUUCGGAGGAACACCAGUGGCGAAGGCGGCUCACUGGCUCGGUACUGACGCUGAGGUGCGAAAGCGUGGGGAGCAAACAGG
rnacentral:rRNA from 1 species